rnacentral:lncRNA from 1 species
UAUACCCAAUCCUAGUAUAUUUAGGAUUUCGACUUUAAUUAAUAUCUAAAUCUAUCUUAAUCAAUCUCUAAUAGAUUUAAAUAUUAAUCCUAAUCUAGUUAGGUUUAUCCUCUAAUUAAUAUUUAAAUCUUAAUUUAUCUCAAACAGAUUUAAAUAUUAAUUCUUAUCCAAAUAGGAUUUAACUACAAAUUUAACCAAAUCCGAACAUUCUCCACCUUGGUUUGAUUUGUAAUUUUCAACCGCUACGUCGAGUUCACCAUGCAAGCUCCACCUUGAGCUUGUCUCCUCCGCUCAAUGUCGCCGCAUCCGUCGCUCCGUCUCAAGCAACUGCACAUCCGCGAACGUUUGGAACCCAAACCGUCUUCGAUCCCGUUCUGACUAUGCUCCCGUUCAGAACGUAUAAGUUCCCACGCUUGUUCGCCUCGUAUACGACCCGAUCUCGUUUUCGGACCCUCAUAGCUCUACCUGAAGCUGAAAUAUCGCAACCCUUUGAGUCUAAUGCGCCUAACGAGAUCAAAUUUCGCUUCAAUCUAGGAACGUGCCGCACACCUGUCAGCGUCCUCACGACCCCAUCGUGCAUUCGGAUUUUCACCAUGCCGACUCCCAAUACUUUGCACGCUGUCCCAUUCCCCAUCAGCGCCUUUUCACCUUUGAUCGCCUUAUAGGUGGCAAAAGACUCCUUCUCUGGGCAUACGUGAAAAGAACACGCCGAAUCGAGUACCCACGCAUCGUCCGAAAUUUUCGCACCUCCGGUCGAAUCGAUCAUCUCCAACUCUGCUGUCUGCGCCGUCGCUGAUACCGUCUCGUCCUGGUUCACGACAGUUUGCUCCUUCUAUCGCUUUAACUCCUUCAGAUCAUCCUGAAGUUUUCGACAAUUAUGCUUGAUAUGCCCCUUUCUGUGCAGUAAAAGCAUUCUACCUCAGAUAGCGGUUUCUUCUGUCGAUAUCCGGUCGCCGAUAUUCUCGCCUCCUGCUUCGCAGCCACCACCAGUCCUACAUCUUGACUUUGCAUGCCGGACUCCUGAGUCAUCUUCCGCAUCUCGUUCGAGAGAAGCGCCGCCGUGACCGCCCCCACGUUUAUGGACUCCUUGCCAUAAAGCAACGUGGUCACCAGAUGCUCAUAUGUUGUCGGUAGCGAAGAUAGUAGGAUCAACGCCUUGUCUUCGUCAUCCAGAUUGACUCCGAUGCUGGUCAAUUGGGCCACCACCUUGUUGAACUCAUUUAGAUGAUCAUGUAGGCUCGCUGUUUCUUGUAUCCGCAACGUAAACAGUCGCUGCUUCAGAUACAAUAUGUUCGUCAGGGAUUUGGUCAUGUACAGAUUUUCCAAUUUCUUCCACAAUUUUGCCGGUGUCGUCUCGCCGGCUACAUUGUAAAGAACCUCAUCUGCUAAUGAUAGAUGAAGCGUACUCAGCGCCUUCCGCUCCAUCUUCGUCCAUGCCGCAUCUGUGACCUCCGCCAGCUUUGCCUCCUUCCCGUUCAACGUCUCGUCUAACUCUUGCUGUACGAGGAUUGCUCGUACUUUAAUCUGCCACAAUCCGAAAUUGUUCUUGCUGUCGAAUUUCUCGAUUUCGAAUUUCAUGGCCAUCUUCGUCGAUCUCUUCCGCGGAUCGAUAACCUUCAGCUCUGAUACCACUUGUUGGGAAUUCGGUACUCGCCCCGGUACCGGAUCUCGUGAAUCCACAACCCGCUUCGAUACCGACUGCUGUGGAUCCGGUAUCGAUUGUUGGAAUUCCGGAACGGAAGCGUCGAAUCGGGUUUUUACUAUAAACCCGUCUCCUCAGCAAAAUCUGAUACAAUCAUAAAAGAGAGAAAAAAAAAAUCAAAACAAAAAAUAUGCGGAUAAAAUAAGAUUCAUUAAAUAAGAGAAGAUUACACCUAACUCCUCUUUUGCCCUUCUCUCGUCUUCUAUAAACCUACAAAGAAAACUAUCCUCCACGCGCACCCAUGCACAAGGUGCACUCAACUCAUUAACUCUCUCUCUCUCUCUCUUUUUUCUCUCUUUCUCUCUCGGUACGGCAGCUUCCAAGGCUCUGCAGCUAGCCUUAAUUAAUUUGGCCGUAACCUCUCAAGAACACAAUGCUAAUUAGCCCCAAUGCAUUAUAUAAUGCUAACUCAAAGAUAUACCCAAUCCUAGUAUAUUUAGGAUUCCGACUUUAAUUAAUAUCUAAAUUUAUCUUAAUCAAUCUCUAAUAGAUUUAAAUAUUAAUCCUAAUCUAGUUAGAUUUAUCCUCUAAUUAAAAUUUAAAUCUUAAUUUAUCUCAAACAUAUUUAAAUAUUAAUUCUUAUCCAAAUAGGAUUUAACUAUAAAUCUAAUUAAAUCCUAACA